CCUACGGGUGGCAGCAGUGAGGAAUAUUGGUCAAUGGCCGUAAGGCUGAACCAGCAAAGUCGCGUGAAGGAAGAAGGAUCUAUGGUUGGUAAGCUCCGUUUAUGGGGGAAUAAAGGUAUCAGCGGAUAUAGAUUUGCAUGUAUCCUAUGAAUAGACAUCGGCUAAGUCCGUGACAGCAGCCGAGGUAAUACGGAGGAUGCGAGCGUUGUCCGGAUUUGUUGGGUUUAAAGGGUACGUAGGUUGGUUUUCAAGUCAGCGGUGGAAGUUUGUGGCUCAAACCGAAACUUGCUGUUGAAACUGGAAGACUUGAGUGUAUGUGAGGUAGGCGGAAGGCGUGGUGUAGCGGUGAAAUGCAUAGAUAUAAGGAAGAACACCGGUUGCGAAGGCAGCUUCCUAGGCUAUAACUGACGCUGAGGCACGAAAGCGUGGGGAUCAAAUAGGAUUAGAUACCCGUGUAGUC
rnacentral:rRNA from 1 species